UUGACUUGGGGGGAAAAACAUUUGGACAUUUUGCUGGCUAGGUUUACGAAAUAUACACAUCCAGCAAACAUGUGAGUCCCUUUAGGGUACAGUGCAGUGAAGGGAGAAGUGGAAAUACUCAAGGUUCUGGGGAAGGUCAAAUGAAGGGUCCCUCACAUUGGCUGAGGCCAACCUGGCUUCAGAGGUGUGCAGAGGCACCAGGCCGAGAACAGGGCUUUGCAGUGGUGAGGGCAAAACAUGAACACAAGAAAUACCCUAAGUUACUGACCUGGUUGUGCCUGGUGACAGAUGGGACCAGCUCUUUUCUCCAUUUGGUAAUUUUGGAAAAUUUGGCAGAGUUAAUAAAGAAAUCCCCUUGGUGCAAGAUUGCUACAAUAAGAAUCUAUUAUAGAUGGCAGAUGUGAAGUUCACAGUCCUUUUUAUUAUCCUAACCUAGUAACAUGACUAGAGGUAAAAUUAAAUAUUGAGUUAGAUGAUUGUUUAAUAUUUUAAAACCAGAGGGAAGACAUACAAAUAGAUUGAGA
rnacentral:lncRNA from 1 species